rnacentral:rRNA from 1 species
AUACGGAGGGGGCUAGCGUUGUUCGGAAUUACUGGGCGUAAAGCGUACGUAGGCGGACUGAUCAGUUGGGGGUGAAAUCUCAGGGCUUAACCCUGGAACUGCCUUCAAUACUGUCAGUCUUGAGAUUGGAAGAGGUGAGUGGAAUUCCUAGUGUAGAGGUGAAAUUCAUAGAUAUUAGGAGGAACACCAGUGGCGAAGGCGGCUCACUGGUCCAAUACUGACGCUGAGGUACGAAAGCGUGGGGAGCAAACAGGAUUAGAAACCCUAGUAGUCC